UACGUAGGGUCCGAGCGUUGUCCGGAAUUAUUGGGCGUAAAGGGCUCGUAGGCGGUUCGUCACGUCGGGAGUGAAAACUCGGAGCUUAACUCCGAGCCUGCUUCCGAUACGGGCAGACUAGAGGUAGGCAGGGGAGAGCGGAACUCCUGGUGUAGCGGUGGAAUGCGCAGAUAUCAGGAAGAACACCCGUGGCUAAGGCGGUUCUCUAGUACGGUACUGACGCUGAGACGCGAAAGCGUGGGGAGCGAACAGG
rnacentral:rRNA from 1 species